rnacentral:rRNA from 1 species
CCUACGGGGGGCAGCAGUGAGGAAUAUUGGUCAAUGGGCGCGAGCCUGAACCAGCCAAGUAGCGUGAAGGAUGACUGCCCUACGGGUUGUAAACUUCUUUUAUAAAGGCAUAAAGUGAGGCACGUGUGCAUUUUUGUAUGUACUUUAUGAAUAAGGAUCGGCUAACUCCGUGCCAGCAGCCGCGGUAAUACGGAGGAUCCGAGCGUUAUCCGGAUUUAUUGGGUUUAAAGGGAGCGUAGAUGGGUUGUUAAGUCAGUUGUGAAAGUUUGCGGCUCAACCGUAAAAUUGCAAUUGAUACUGGCAGCCUUGAGUGCAGUUGAGGUAGGCGGAAUUCGUGGUGUAGCGGUGAAAUGCUUAGAUAUGACGAAGAACUCCGAUUGCGAAGGCAGCCUACUAAACUGCCACUGACAUUGAUGCACGAAAGUGUGGGUAGCAAACAGGAUUAGAUACCCUUGUAGUC